CUUCCGUGGCGCAAUUGGUUAGCGCGUCUGACUGUUAAUCAGGAGGUUGCUAGUUCAAGCCUAGCCGGGAGCGGA
rnacentral:tRNA from 2 species